UUUGUUUCUCCGCCGGCGCCGCCGGCUGGAAAUCGCCUCCGCCGGAGAAGGAGCUCCAAAUAAGCCCAAAAACUCACCACAAACUCUCCUCCCUCUCCUCUUUCCAAUCCCCAUAACCACUUCCCUCAAAUCACAACCCAGUUUCUCGAAUCUUCAAUCAAAAUCUCGGCCAAAAACACAAACUUGUCCAUAACUCCCCAAAUUCACACCGUACCUUCCCUUGACCUCCCUCAUCUCUAAUAUCUCACUAGUUUCCGUCCUAUACCACUGGAACUGGGCGAAUUUGGAAUCGAAGGUUCACACUGUUUUGGGCUGUUCAGAAGGUUUUUGGAGUCGAGUGACUUCAGGUUAAUAUUAUAGGUCUAUUUCUUAUGAAAUGGACGUACAAUAUUGACUUGAAGUCAAUUUCGUAGAUUUUCUUUUGGAGACUAAAAAUUUAGUAAGCUGUUUCUCUCUUUCUUUUCUUUAGUUCAGUUUAAUUCAUCGUUUAGUCUAUUCGAUCGAGCAUGGUUUUAGUCCAGUUAUAGUAUGUUUAAUCUUGUUUUGACUUUGUAGUUCAUUUUGGUUAGUUAAAGGUUUUGAUUGAAUUGCGUUAAUUGUUAAUUGUUGUUCCUGUUCUUGUUUUCCUAGAGAUUUAGAGUAAUGAUAAUUCCUGAUUGUUCUUUUCUUUAGUUUUGUGUUGACUUAUUCUGGCUAGUUGAUUUCCGGAUGGUUAGUUUAGUUAGAUUUUAGGUGAUCCUGUUUUAAGCAUAUGAUUCUAUUUUGAUAAUUGAUGGUUUGGCUGUUUAAUUGUGUUGCUGAAAGUUGUCAGUAAUUGGAAUUAGGUGUUAGAUAAGCAUUGUUAGGAUUUGGGGGUGGGUUAGAUUAGUAUAGUAAUUUCAAGAGAACUCAAGGGACAUUUAAGGUAUUCCUAAAUAGAAAGAAUGUUGUAGAUCACAUUGAAAUAACUGAGAUUCUUCUAGAAUAGGACUUUAGUACAUCUUUUUUACAAAUUAAUGUACUGACUUGACUAACAGGUUAUAAAAUAAAGGACAAAAGUUGAAAUUAGCAGGGACUAAUAUGAAAAGUGCAAAAUUGAGGGCUGCCCCUCCUUAAGCCUAUAAAAAGUCAUCAAAAUGCCUUGAAGAGCAAGUUUUGACCGCCUAAAAUUCCCCCAAGUACUCUCCAAGCUUCCAGAUCUGAAAUUCAAAAUUCAGAUCUGAAACUCAUUUAGUAACUUCUUCCAAAAAGAAAAAAACCCAAAAAAAAAAUGUAACAGAAUUCCAAAAACAUUGCUCUGUUCAGAUUUCUUAAGAUAAAUUCAAGUUUUAGGGGUUAAUUUACAUUUCCUAGCUCACUAUUCAGUAGCUGAAGUUAAGUGGUUCCAUCUGGAGCAGCUUUUGAGUCUGUUAAAUUGGUUUUGGGAUGAGUUUGGACUCAGUGAAGUAUUUUGAUACAUUUGGGCCUAUUAGAAUACAUUUCAAGUAGCCUUUAGGCCGAUUUGUUUGUUUCUAUCUGAUUUCUGAAGAGUUUUGAGUGCUUGGAUGCAUUUCAAAUUCAUUUGAAGUCUAGUUGGUGUGUUUUUUGGCUGAGUUUCCUAGAUCUGCUUGAUUUUAAAACACUCAUGGGUCUAUAUGAGCUUUCUAGGUUCAAGCUUAGUUUUUGUGGCUGCUGAGCUUGCAUUGCUGCUGUCAAUCCUCAUGCCUCAACUGACUUUGUUUCUUCGUUAUAAUCUCGAAUCCAGGUACACAUUCGAAGUUGUAACCUCUUUGAUGAAAUAAAACGCAAUUGCAUUUUGAGGCUUGUUGGAGUUUUUACUAUGUUUUCACUCCCCUGGAGGAUUUUAGGAUUUGGUAAUAUUAGACUCAUUGUUUCAUGAUUUAUGGUAGGUUUAACUUUACGGAAUUGGAACUGUAACUGCUUGAUUUGUGCUGGACUGUAAUGCUAUUUUAAGUAGUUUGUACUGCUUGAUACUUGUUUGAUUUAGUUUAGCCGGUGAAGUAUAGCUGUGAAUGUAUGAAAAUUGGAAUAGG
rnacentral:lncRNA from 1 species